GAGCCCAUAGCUCAGCCUGGUUAGAGCGCCGGUCUUAUAAGCCGGAGGUCCUCGGUUCAAAUCCGAGUGGGCUCA
rnacentral:tRNA from 1 species